rnacentral:pre_miRNA from 1 species
UUAACUCAAAUGUGUAUGGAGUUUGAACGUUUUCUUACGUACACCGCUAGGGGUGCUGUUUCAACUGCAUACAUAUCUGAGUUA